CUCACCGCCGCUUACUCUAAACACUAGCUAGCACCGCCGUUUCUUCUAAACCCUAGCGCCGCCGCUUCUUCUAAACCCUAGCGCCGCCGCUUCUUCUCUGUAAACCGUAGCGCCGUUUCUCUGUAAACCCUAACGCCGAUCUAUAACCACAAUGACGAGUACUCGAACUCCUUCUGCGACUAAUCAGACAAAAAGGAUGGAUAUUCCAGAACUCCCCCGUAGGUUAUACACAUUAGGGGAAGAGCCAGAACCCCACAAUAGCAUUUCGUAUCAUACGGAUAACACGAAGUUGCAUACUGCUCUUAGGGAAGCUCUCACUGAUGCUGAAUUUGAAGAGCUCAAGGAGUCGAGAUUGGGAGUUUUCAUCAAGUUCAAGGAGCAGGGAUUUGGUUGGGCUUCAAGGCUGGUUCACCACUUGCUCGGUUUAAAGCU